UACGAAGGGGGCUAGCGUUGUUCGGAUUUACUGGGCGUAAAGCGCGCGUAGGCGGAUUUUUAAGUCAGGGGUGAAAUCCCGAGGCUCAACCUCGGAAUUGCCUUUGAUACUGGAAGUCUUGAGUUCGGAAGAGGUGAGUGGAAUUGUGAGUGUAGAGGUGAAAUUCGUAGAUAUUCACAAGAACACCGGUGGCGAAGGCGGCUCACUGGUCCGAUACUGACGCUGAGGUGCGAAAGCGUGGGGAGCAAACAGG
rnacentral:rRNA from 1 species